UACAGAGGUGCCGAGCGUUAGGCGGAAUCACUGGGCUUAAAGCGUGUGUAGGCGGACUUCUAAGUACCUUGUGAAAUCCCACGGCUCACCCGUGGAACUGCUGGGUAUACUGGUCGUCUUGAGCCACCUAGGGGCCAGCGGAACAAAUGGUGGAGCGGUGAAAUGCGUAGAUAUCAUUUGGAACGCCAACGGUGAAAACAGCUGGCUGGGGGUGUGCUGACGCUGAGACACGAAAGCCAGGGGAGCGAACAGG
rnacentral:rRNA from 1 species